AACUGGUCAUCUGAUAGCACCUGGAUGGGGUUUGCUAUAUGUAGAACUAAACUAAUACUGAAUGAAAACAAAUUGGAAUUUGAACAGUUUCAACACUCACCUGCAUAUGAUAAAAUUAAAAAACCCACCUGUCUCACACCUGUCUCACAACAAAGUCUGAUGUAAGUGUUGUCACCAGCCUUCUGGCUAAACAGGCAGUUUCUUACAUGUAUCCGAAGAAUCCAGUAGGGGCUUUAUGUCAGACCAGGGGUUUCAUAGUUCACCUUAAUUUGCUUUAAAGAAAUAGGGAUAUAUAAAGAGCUUGCCAGUGCUUGUGUACAGUAACUACAUCAUUUCCCACCACACUGAUCAUUAAUCAUGUCAGUCUCAGAAGACCAACACUUUAUGUACAUCUUGUAGGAACAGAACGCAGCUCAACAGUAAAACCUGUUUUACUUAAUCUCCGUCUUUACUACCAGACUAUCAUGAUAUUUGUCUGAACUGUAAUUCCGCCCCCUCUCCCACCUCCAGUCCUUUCUUCCUCCCGAAUCCCAAACCCAAGUGUUUAGAAAGAAUUUUCAUCUCUCAUUCCUUGUAACCCAGCUGGGCUAAAAACUUGAUCCGACUGACUUCAGACUUGGUUUCAGACUACUAUCUAUGUUGUGAAACCUGCAGCCAUGUAACCCUGUCACGUCCUCUGUUUCCCUUUUGACUUUUCCCCUGGCACAGAGUUUGGUUUGAUUAUUCAUGCAUCUUCUUUUGGGAGCAAGAAUGUGGCCUAGUAUAGAAUGUUUCCGAAUGGGGAGGGAAAAACCUGCUGUGUGUAGCUCUGACCAUCAAAAUAAGAGCAUCCCCCCAUGUCAAUCCCCAGAAUCAUUUAAUAACAUUAUAAUCAAUUUUAUGUACGCUGCAGGGUUUACCCCGAAAGUGUUCUGUGAAUAUUAAUCCCUUCUGCGAGCAGCUGUGCGCAGAGCCAGGGAACCCCGGCCUUGAACCGUCUAGACUGGCCCCAGCCUGCUAUGAGUCCCCGGAGGAAGCCCCACGGAGCUUUUCCAGCUGCAGCAGGGGGAGCACCGUGGUUGUUUAUUGAUAUUUCAUUUUAACCAAUGACCAACGUGACACAUCAAGGUAGCUGAUGAUGUCGUAGGCAUAAUCCCUCUGGGAGCUGAUGUAUUUUUUCAACCCUGCUCUGCCUGCCAGCUAGUUAACACUGGCGGCAGCCGUGUGAUCCAAAGGAGACUUCUGAUUUCAAGCUCCCCCCUUUUGGUUGGUCUGUCUGACUUUAUAUGGGAUUUAGACAAGGACAGACUGUCCUUCUGCUAAUGAGAAACUAAAAUGAAUGGAAAACAUUGCCAAGCUGUGGUGGAUUGGUAGAGCUACUCUCUAAACCCGACUCAGUCCAGAUCCUGCACCUGGGAUCCUGGUAAAUCUGGCAGAAGCUGGAAAGGUUGAGGAUUCUUACCAGAGUCUGCUCUGCUGAAUCUCUGUCUGCAGUACCCAGUUGAGAGAGAACGCAAAGAAAUUCCUUCAAAGCCUCAUCCCUAUGUGGGGCACCCCCCUCAUUUCUGCACAGUGACUGAGGAACCCAUUUUAUGGGCCAGGUAAUCCGAGAACUCUGCAGAGUCCUUAUGCUAUAGAGGCUGCACUCAGGACUAGAAGAAAAGACUAAUGACAUCAUUAAGACCCAACUAGGAAAAUUUUCUGAGACUCCAACCAAGGUGCUGUCACUGGUCCUUUUGGAUCUAAGGUCCUUGCCUUUUGAAAAACCUAAGCUCACUCCCGAUGAAACAGUAUCUGGCCACAUGUGGCAGAGCCACGCAUCUGCCUUAUUCUCCAUACUCUGACCCUCAAAUUGCUCUACAGGACCUAUUCAGAAGCUGCUGGUCAUCUGUUCUCUAUUCCUCCUACAUGUUAAAGCAGCUUAUGCUGAACAAGAUUACAAUUAUGCUGAACAAGAUUACAACCUGACCCUGACUCCACCCAUGACCUGCUUCCUGGAGAAUAUGUCCAGUGGAAAAGACACCAACUAAAAGACUCCUGCACGUCCCUCCUUGGAGAGGAUCUUUCCUGGUACUGCCCACCAGUUCCUGCACAGCUAAACGUGAAGGCUUCUGUCCCACCUGAAAGCAGUCGCAGGAUGUGAAUGGACCAGCACGGCCACCAGUGAUCUCACACUCAAGCUCUCCUGGCACCAGAAGCAGAAAACAUUGGACGCAGACAGCUCUCCCCAGACACCAGGCCAGGCCUGUAUAAUUUAACUUGAUUUCCACCACUGUGAAAAUCACAAUAGGGGAAGUUAACCAGACUCCUCCACUUAUCUGUUUUCUCUCCUGGUUUCCCAUGUCUCCCAGGCGAUUACCAAGGGAAGUAACCUUUCCGCCUCUGGAUCUGCCAUUUAAAACUCCGAUCUGUCCAGGAUGUUGGAGACUCCCUGUCCUUCUUGUAACCCAGUUUUCCUUCUCAUCUUAUUGCCAUAAACACCACCUGAAAUCCCUUUGAUGUCAGCUACAGAGUUAAACUUUUGCAGCCAGGCUUCCCAGUGCUUUAUUUUUCCCUUUCUUUGAUUAUAACUCUACUUGCCCACUUUGACACAAAUAUCUUUUAAAUGAUAGUACAUUUGUACCCCCAUGUUCUUAUGGUUAUCUAAAUCCGAUUUCAAAGGAUUUCUUAUGAAAGAUAUUGUACUAAUAAGGCUUAUUGUUCACUUACGUGGGAAGCACUGUCAGCUAAGUGAUGAUAAACCUUGGGUUAUUUGGAUGGCUGCAUGUUAUCAAUUUAUUUCAGAAAUUACAUUAAUGUUAUAUAUGUUCUAGAAAUUGAGACAUUCCUAGAAAAAUCUUAUGUUAUUGUCAUAAUUCUGAUUAUCUUAAAAUAUUGUAUGUUACAGAAAUAACCAAAUUUCCUUGUCAAUUCUAUUAUAAUAAACUCUCAUCAGAUCUUUAGCAGGGGGUAUUUUUUUAAGUUCUUUUGUCACUUACAGACAAUUUUUGUUCAAUGCUGAUGCUUGUGCACAAGUGAGAUUCAUGGCAAGGAAGCUUGACCAGAACUCUUGACCCCCCACACCACUGCCCAAUCACAAGGCGUCAAACCUUGGGUACACAGUUCACCACAGAUGAAGGCUCCGCCUGACUUCUGGUCCCGAGCAAAAGCUGGAGAUCUCAAAUCAAACCGCCUAGGAAGAGAAGUAGUCACCACAGAAGUACACUGCUCCCUCCCAAGGUGUCGGAUCAAGAACAUUUCUUUCUAUUCUUCCUUCCCUCUCUGACCAUCCUUUUCCUAGUUCUCACACUUUGAAGGGUUUUAUGAGUCUUCUGUCCAUCUUUUUGCUUUGCUCUGGCUUGGAAAGCUGAUGCCAUUGUUCACAUAUCUCAGGCCACUGCAAAGACUGAAUUACCACGAUGCUGGUGAUUUUCUGAUUCUGUCCAUCACAAACUGCUCCCUCAUUUCCAAUGCCUGUUUCUCUGGACCAAACCCAGCCAGCCUCCCUCUCUACUGUGUCCCAUUCCCUAACCCUGAGCAGCUGCCUCCUUGUCGCUGGUUACAACCUGGAGAACCUUGCAUCCAGGCUCUGUACAAAGAAGGGGACACACGGCAAAAGAAACCAGAAUAAAAGCACUGUCGACAGACCCUUCAGUUUUACUGGCUUCCAUGGCCGUCAGCUCUUGAGUCCCGAGACACAGACUGAAACACGAAUUACCAGGAGAUGCUCAAGGAUUCAAAAUCUGCUUCCUUCAGUAGAUCCCUGCUCCGCUGUCCACGAGCUGAUGCAAACAAGGCUGUGAUCAGGACUGUCUCCUUAGCUCUUGGGGAUUCUAGAGUCUGCUGGGAAAGCAACCGCUGCCCAACAAAAAUCUCUAGACUCUCUGGCCACAGUCGUUCUUGAUAACAAGAAAAGCCUCUGAUUAUCCUUCAUCUGAGCAAGGAGGUUUCUGUGCUGUGACCAACACCACACUUCUCAGCCACUGAAAAACCCAGUCACUCUCUUAGGCCAACAAACCCACCAACGGGCUCGCUCUUUGGGGAUUAUUCUGCUUAUAACAGGCAUAGUAGUCACCGUUGUGUGCUGUAUUCUCUCAAAAGCUUUAAAUGCAGCUUUGCAGCCACUAGCUACCAGGCAAAUGAACGGGACGUCAGAAAAGGAACGAAGAAUGGCUGACUGAAAGAACGUGAACCCGAUGUCAUGACCUGUGACGCCCACACAGAUUCAGCAAAAAACAGUAAGAAGUCCAGAGCCACAGCUGGGAGUAGCGCUAAUGCCUUACAUUUUGAUCUCUUCUCUUAGUUAGGCUGAGAGUCUGAUGAUGAAAAGGGCGGAAUCAUUAAAAAGAAGACAACGGACCCAAAAUGAAGUCGCUUAGGCUAAGCUCCACAUCACCCAACGGAGACUGGACUUUCAGUGUCAGCUCCCCCAGAAAUGGAAUCUUCAACCCGUCAAGUCAGGGCCCGCCUGGGCAGCACGGCGAUGAGUGCCCGACAGACCCCCGCCGGCCCCUAAAGGAGAGCGACAGCCAACACCGCUUUUUCACCUGGUACAACUUCGUCGUUCCUGCUCCCUUCUGCCUACGUGGCUUUGGUUUUGUACACUCCUCGGAGCUCCUUUCUACCUGCUGGACUGGAUGCUGCCUGAUUCACGAAUCACUGAAAUAAAGCCAGUAUGCUCUUUCACAUUCACUCAGUUCAAUUUUGUUUCUUGACACCAUCUUGCUCUCGGAGGCUGAGCCCCUGUUUUCUGAAUCCCCCCAUCUGCCAGCUCAGGGCACUUGCAGUAAAAAUUGUUCCACUUCUCCCUCCUUUGGGUCAGGAUUUGUCUUUUCCUACCUGCUUUUCAG